AAUUCUAUUAUGUUCUUAAAUAUGCUGCCAACAACCUGGUCAUCACCUGACUCCUGCCUCUCCCUCUCUGGCCUCAGGGUUUCCCAAACACCUCUGCUACCUCAACAUUGCCUCCCCCAGUGCCCACUUGCCUGCUGCUCCCACAAAUGCUCCCUGCUUCUGCCUCCAUCUGUUCUCUUGGGCCAGAGCCCAACCUCUACCUGGGUUGUUUUUCAUGAUAGCACUUAGCAUUCCCCUGGAGCCAUGUUUGCCUUUGAUCCUCUCACUAGAAGGGAGGCCUCAUGAGAGCAAGGAACAAGUCUUGUUCAUGGCCACAUGGCCAGGGUGCAGAAUGGCGAGAAGCAAUUCCAGAGGAGCCAGACCAAAAGAGGCAUUGACGCGCAAAUCAUUGAGCAAAUUCUGAUGCCAAAUAAACAUAGAUAAAUUAUAAUUUCUAAUUUUAUAUUUAGUAUUUAUUUAUAAUUAUUUAAUUUAUAUAUGUUAUUUAUAUAUUACUUAUAAUUACUUAUAAUUAUAAUUAUAUUUAUAAAAAUAAUAACUUAAAAUUAGCUCUCACAUCAAACUAAAAGAAUAAUACAUGAUAACCAGCGUUUGUACCAGAAGUGUGAGAUGAGACUGACAUUAGGAACUGCGGAUAGGAUUAUACAGCUUUUUACAAACUCUAUAGAGUUUUCCAUUCUCGUGGAAAUAUGCCUCUGUGCGGUACGGAAUUUUUUUAAAGCACCUAAGAAUAGAGUCACAGGGAAAAUCUGGGGACGACAUCCCGAAAGGACAAAACACCGCCGCAAGCAAAAACCGAGACGCAGGACGAGCUCCUGGCCGGCUGGAGGCGCUGAUGAGCCCACUCACGGGGUUUUUUGCUCGCGUGCGAGUGCGCGUGCGCAUGUCGCCCCACUCAGACUUUGUGCACAUGCGCGCACACGUCCAUUCCAGACGUGCGGACUGAGACGUUUGCUAGUUCUGUCUGCACCCUAGCUUCCAACCCCGCGCGGGGACAUGCGCACACGUGCAUCUCAGACGUGCGAUCCCACACGCAGAUGCGUGCGUAUCAGCGCCCCCAACCUGCGCCGAACCCGCCUUUCCUGCGCCAAAGAUCGUGCGCACCGCCCUCUCCCGAGAGUGGGCCAGCUCUAGGAGCUCCGCGGAGCUCUUUGGAGGCGCUAUUCUCAAUCCCUCGGCAGGUCGCCAUGACUCAGCAUCCCAAUGGGCGCAGCUCUUGGAGCAGCUCGAAAAAAUCCCUCCGCGUGGAUCGCCCCGCCUUCCCGUGGGCUCCUUCAACUCAGCCGCAGAACUAGCGCUCCACCCACCUUUCCCUCCCCCGGACUUCAUCCUGCAUACACAUGCGGGUGCUUCCAUGUUUCCUGCUCCUGCCUGACUCCUGCCCAGCUACUCCGAUUUAAGGCCUGAAAUAUAUAAAUGCCCGUGCCUCAGUUUCCCCAUCUGUAGAACAGGGCUCUUAUUUGGAGCUGUACUAGUUUCACAAAUAAUGGGAGCCAACUGGUUUUUCAAGGCUGCACUAGGCUCUGAAAUUAAAUCCUUCUGCAGAGGUAGGACGGUCCCUGACUUCCUAAAUUGCCUCCGCUGUCAAAUCCUUUGUCCCGGACCAGUCUGUCUUGCUGAGGGCCCUUGAAGAUGCCCAGGGCCGAGCAGGAUCACUUGAACUUUCUGAGCCAGAUUUUCUUUUUGUUGUGGUUUAGUCAAACGCUCCGAGCUUCACUGUCGCCAGGAUCCUCAGCAAUAUAGUUUUCUGCUCAUAUAGAAAAUCCAUGUAACUGGGUUUUCAAAGCCCAAUGUUAAAUUUAAAAUAUU